rnacentral:rRNA from 1 species
GAUGAACGCUGGCGGCGUGCUUAACACAUGCAAGUCGAACGAAGCACUUUAUUUGAUUUCCUUCGGGACUGAUUAUUUUGUGACUGAGUGGCGGACGGGUGAGUAACGCGUGGGUAACCUGCCUUGUACAGGGGGAUAACAGUUGGAAACGGCUGCUAAUACCGCAUAAGCGCACGGCAUCGCAUGAUGCAGUGUGGAAAACUCCGGUGGUAUAAGAUGGACCCGCGUUGGAUUAGCUAGUUGGUGAGGUAACGGCCCACCAAGGCGACGAUCCAUAGCCGACCUGAGAGGGUGACCGGCCACAUUGGGACUGAGACACGGCCCAAACUCCUACGGGAGGCAGCAGUGGGGAAUAUUGCACAAUGGGCGAAAGCCUGAUGCAGCGACGCCGCGUGAGCGAAGAAGUAUUUCGGUAUGUAAAGCUCUAUCAGCAGGGAAGAUAAUGACGGUACCUGACGAAGAAGCACCGGCUAAAUACGUG